CGGUGAUGAAGUUUACGGGGCUUUGAUAGAAGCUCUGCCAUGAGUGCGCGGCAGGCAAGGGCUUGUCGGGCUCUGCCCAGGGCACGGUGUUUACCGAUCCCAGGGUGAUGCGAUAAACCCAUCGUCAGUUGGGCACAGCUGCAAAUUCAUUUUUAAAAGGACCAUUUCGGUCCCACUGAACCCAUUUCAGAUUUUUUUACCUCCUUUUCUGAAGGGCUGUAACUUAAAAGGGGCGUCUCGGUGGGUUUCAACCGGCUUGGCACGAGUGUGGAUCUGCAGGGCUGGAAACGCCUCUCAGAAACGGCUGCCGCUUCCCAGACAAGAACGCACUCAUCUCUGGAUGUGAUGGUCCACUUUGCAGCGAGAAGGAGACAUAUUUUGUGUACAAGGCACUUGGAAAUUUUCAUUAAGUCAGCGACUUUGUGAAAAUGAGGAGAAACGCACGGCAGGUCAGCACCACGAAACACAAAUUACUGUCCCUUCAUCAGACAGCAGACAGAGUGUGAGGGGAACAGAGGCCGGGCGCAGUGUCCCGGCUGUGCUGCUGAGAGAGCCAGGGGCCCGGCGGGAGCGGCCCUCAGUGAGAUUCAGCCCCGGGAGAUGUGAGAACGGCCCAGACCGGGGUGAUGUCUCGGGCUGCACAGUCACAGAGGGGCCCGGCCCACGGCAUGGCGCGUCCAUCAGCUGCCGCAUCACUGGGCGGUUACCCGUGUGGCAUUACAGGAGUUUCUGGGGCGGGCUGAUGAGACAUAAUGAAACACAGCCACCUCUGGUGGCCCCCACGUCAGGGGGACGUGGGGGCGACAAGACAGUCUUCUGGUGGGCGCUGCACACUCCCUCUCGAUACAGCGCAGGAUGACAUCUCGUGACAAAGAGGAGGCAAGUCACGGGCACCCCACAUGCAGACUGAAUCCCAAGAAGUCAGGCUGGAUGCAGAGAGACGUCAGGCUCCAGCUGUUUGCUCCC
ensembl:lncRNA